CCUACGGGAGGCAGCAGUAGGGAAUUUUCGUCAAUGGGCGCAAGCCUGAACGAGCAAUGCCGCGUGAACGAUGAAGGUCUUCGGAUCGUAAAGUUCUGUUGAAGGGGAAAAAGAGCGGAGAGAGGAAAUGGUCUCCGAUUGAUAUUACCCUUCGAGGAAGUGACGGCUAACUACGUGCCAGCAGCCGCGGUAAUACGUAGGUAGCGAGCGUUAUCCGGAAUGAUUGGGCGUAAAGGGUGCGUAGGCGGCCUGGUAAGUCUGGAGUGAAAGGUACCGGCUCAACCGGUACAGGCUCUGGAAACUGGCGGGCUAGAGAGCAGGAGAGGGCGGUGGAACUCCAUGUGUAGCGGUAAAAUGCGUAGAUAUAUGGAAGAACACCAGUGGCGAAGGCAGCCUGCUGGACUGUAACUGACGCUGAUGCUCGAAAGUGUGGGUAUCAAACAGGAUUAGAUACCCCUGUAGUC
rnacentral:rRNA from 1 species